UCAACCACCACUAUGGCGCCAUCCAGUGUUUUCAGCUUCAGACACAAGCCGACAUGUAGGCUAGUUGUCAUAAACAACUACAGGACGGGAACGCUGACUUGUAAUAAUGAUGUUAUAAGCACAUGUCAAACGCUAAUUCGCUCAGGGAGAACGAGCAAUAUUUUUCACAUAUCGAGGGGAGCACCAGCACCAGGGUCUGACUGUGACAAGAGACCGAAUCUGAGACCUAUCGACCUUCACGCAAAAUUCGCCUGGAAAAGCAGAAAGGAAAGGCAACUGGUGGUGGGUCAGAAGAGACUCCCUUAUCCUCGGUGUCAUAUGCUAGUCGACUAGUAUUUUUUUAAUGCAUUUUUAAAAUUUAACUAGGCAAGCCAGUUAAGAGCAAAUUCUUAUUUCAAAUGACGGCCUACUCCAGCCAAACCCGGACGACGCUGGGACCAUUGUGCGCCGCCCUAUGGGACUCCCAAUCGCGGCCGGAUGUGAUACAGCCUGGAUUCGGACUAGGUACUGUAGUGACGCCUCUUGCACAAUGCAAGACCGCUACGCCACUCGGGAGCCUGGUAUGUGAUUGUGGCAAGUGUCCCCACUGCCAAAAGAGGUUCAUCGAGCUGCGACAGUUCACUCAGCAGCUGAGUAAUAUUCACCCCAACGUUCUGGCCAAGCACCUUCAAAGAGGUCUGAUUCUCCCACACCCAGAGCUCGCUGUCAUCAAUAAGCCAUAUGGAGCUUCUGCUCAAGGUAUUGGGUGUUGAGGCAAUGUAUUUACACGCAUAUUACAUUAUGGUACAUAAGGCUUAUAUGGUCAAACACACAGUCAAGGAUUAUAUAAUGAAAGAGAUUGUUCAUUUGAGUGUCACUUGUAAAAAAAAAUGUAUAUAUACCCUAAUACCCUGAAGUGUUUUCAAAAAUCACUGUGAUUUAAAUCCAAUAAUCUUCCCCCUAAAUGGGUCAAAGGAAUAUCAUGGACGUCUUCCAGUCCUUGCCAAGGUGAUGGCUGGCAUGAGGGCUGAGCCCCACUCCCAGCUGGAAGUCCGCCUUGGAUUGGACAAGGAGACAACAGAGACACUCUUGAUGGCAAGGACUGAUGAAGCACUGGACUAUGUACAAAACCUCCACAAAAAACACCAAGUGGAGAGGAAAUACUGGUGUGUGGAUGUCUGUGUUUAGAGAUUUAUUUUAAGAUAAGGACCCAGGCAGCACAUCAUAUGGCAUAGAGUUUUUGUAAUGACCCUGCUGUUGACAACUCGCUCCCUAGUAUUCUUGGAGCAGCGGUGAUGUGUCUGUCUGGCUCUGGACCCAAGGGUUUUUGAGCUCAAUUCACACCUCAAAUCUAUUUUUUGGGUUGCAUACACAUAGCAGACGUUAUUGCGGGUGUAGUGAAAUGCUCGUGUUCCGAGCUCCAACAGUGCAGUAGUAUCUAACAAGCAGUGACGUAGCCUCUGAACCUCAUGCUACUUCCUGGUUUCCUUACACUUUCAGUCAUCUUCCUUUUCCCCUAUUCCCCCAUGCAGCAUUGCUGCUGUGGCCUGUUCCCUCUGAGGGGAUAAUUUGACAACCCUCAUAGAGAGAGAAUUCCCCUGGGCUCAGGCUCACUUCAAGGUAAUGAACUGCUUUCAAACAAUAAAUCAUAAGCUUCUUACCAAAUGCUGGCAAUGGCUGUAGUCUUCUAGUGACACAUUGACAGUAGAGUGCACAACUCCUGUUAUGUUUAUAUCGGUGGCUUUCAGCAGAUACUGCGAUGUCCUUCGGGUUUUGAAGUUAGCAUCUGUUAUAGAUUCUAUAUUUGUACGUAAUGUAUUGUGUAAUUGUAUACACCUAACGGCCCAUAAUCCCUCUCAGAUAGGCCUGAGUCCUGUGUACAGGGUGAGUGUCGGCGGCGAGGGAGUGACUAACGUGCAGGCGGCCAAUCGGCAGGCCCAGGGGACAGUGACCCAGUACGCGUCCUGGACAGCAGCAAUGGCUGCAGCCUUGUGGAGCUCCAGCCCAUCACAGGUUGCGACACGUCUGAAGAAUUGAAUCUGAAAUUGCUGGAUGGUUUGUUACCGAGCCUGGGAUUGAAACAAAGCAAGGCACGUCGCCUUCUUCCCUAACCCUGCACGCACGUCAGCUGACACUGCCAGUGAUGUCACUGUGUCCUGCCCCCUGCUGAAGUACUUCACCACCAGCACCCUGCUACGACUGCAGAUCCCCAUUCCAGAUAAGAGGAUGAAUGGUGCAUCAGCGGCUCCUCUGCAGAGCAGACAGGAUACAGAAGACUCUUAAAAUCAGAAAUACGGAGCGGCAUCACUUCAAGUGACCUUUGACCUAAUGGUUGUCCCAAGUUCCAAGAGCUAAGGCCUGACUGAAAUUCUUACAAAGCCACACACUCUCAUUCACAGUACAAAGGCACGUUUGGGGGAAAAAAAAGACUUUCUUAUUUAGCCUCCAACACCACUAGAAUAUCAAUACAUACAGGAGAUCAUAAAUGCCAAUAAAAAUACAUGUAAAAAAAAAAAA